AAAAUGUUGUUAAAACAAUAAAAUUUGAUUGAAUUUUGCGAAUGAUAAAAAUGUUGUUGUUAAACCCAUGAAAUUUGAUUAAAUUGUGUGAAUGAUGAAAAUGUUGUUGUUAAACAUAUGAAAUUUGAUUGAAUUGUGGGAAUAAUGAAAAUUUUGUUGUUAAUUCCAUGAAAUUUGAUUGAAUUAAGUGAAUGAUAAAAAUGUUGUUGUUAAACCCAAGAAAUGUGAUUGAAUUGUGUGAAUAAUGAAAAUGUUGUUAUUAUUAAACCCAUGAAAUUUGAUUGAAUUGUCUGAAUGAUGAAAAUGUAGUUGAUAAACCCAUGAAAUUUGAUUGAAUUAUGGGAAUGAUGAAAAUGUUCUAUUAAACCCAUGAAAUUUGAUUGAGUUGUGUGAAUAAUGAAAAUGUUGUUGUUAAACCCAUGAAAUUUGAUUGAAUUG
rnacentral:lncRNA from 1 species